GCUCGGGUCUCGAAAAACAAACCUGUUGCCUCGUCCAGCAGCGCACGGGGCCGCGGUGAUUUCCCCGAAGCGGGGUGCAGUGAGUCACUGCCCAGGGGCGAGGGAAAACACAAACCACGGCAUCUGCACGGAGGGCAGGACACAUCAGCACGGGCUCGUGAUGAGGUGGGACGGGUACAGGACCCCCGGGGACAGGACCAGCACCCCCUGAGCCCACCCAGGGCGGGAUUUUCUCCAGCAGCUCGUCACGGCAGGCUGCUGCACGUCCCCCUUCGCCCAGCAACCGCAGCCUGCCCCCGUUCAGCAUCGCGUCGCAGCGCUGGGGACCCGGCUGCCCCGUUAGUUUCGGGGAGGGGAAGGAAAGCUUUGAACUCCACGGAAAGCAAAAAGCUCCCCGCCGGGGCCCCAGGCUCCGAGAGCAUCGGCACCAGCUCAGCCGGUCCCCCCGCAGCCCUGGACUUUGGAACAGCAGAUCCGGCCUUUUCUCGUUUCCUCCUUCCAGGAGGAACCUCUCAGUGAUGAAAACGAGCAGGGCCGGCUACUGCCCUCAGCCUGCCUGCGGAAACCAGAGGCCACGCUCUCCCCUCGUCCCCUCCACGCUUCGGUUCCGCACCCAAAGCCCCCGGGACCAGGCAGCAGCC